UUCUACAGUCUWCAGACGCAGKARGCMUGAUAGAGAUCGUCAGUAGUACACACACGAUGAGUAGAUAGUAUGAAUCCAUAUAACAUGAGAUCGAUGAGCGAGAGCGACUGAGCAACGCUCAGAGCUGUCGUCUAGCUAGCAGGCAGAAUAGAGAGCGUCUCGAGACGUCGUCCACGUGUAGAGCGAUAAACCCAUGAUAGGAUAUACGGCUCAGAUCAUACUGCGGUAUGGUUGUCGAGAGAGUCCUAUAGCUCAGUUGGUUAGAGCGCUACACUGAUAAUGUAGAGGUCGGCAGUUCAACUCUGCCUGGGACUACGAUAGGGCGGCACCACGGGGCUAGUAUAUCUUAAGCAAGAUGGACGGGGGAUUAGCUCAGCUGGCUAGAGYACCUGCUUUGCAAGCAGGGGGUCAUCGGUUCGAAUCCGAUAUUCUCCACACGGAUGCUAACAGCAUCAAGUGAUCUUUGACAUACGUAGCAAUAGAAACAAUAGAAACGAGUAACGAGCGUGCUUAGAAAUAAGUACGAACAAAUAAAGAAUACAAAGCGAGUAACGAUUUUAGAUCGUGCGCUAAGUAGUAUAACUCAACAGAGAUUGUAUCGACGUAAGUUGAUGCAAUGCUCAAGGCGAAAAGUUAUAAGGGC
rnacentral:tRNA from 1 species